GAAUGAAACAAGUGCUCCCAAAAACACGGAGGGGAACAUAGUAUAAGGGUGACUGGGGAAACAAUACCUCAUACGGAAUUUGAUUCUGGAUGGGAGAUGAAGGAGGGGGAACAGAGUAUAAGGGUGACUGGGAAAAUAAUUCCUCAUAUGGAAUCUGAUUCUGGAUAGGAGAUGAAGGCAUCCGAUUAACCAAAUAACAAGAUGUGAGAACUGCAUCGCCCCAAAAACGCAGCGGUACAUGAGAUUCAAUGAGAAGUGUGCGAGCAAUCUCAAUAAUGUGCCUAUUCUUUCUCUCUGCAACCCCAUUUUGCUGAGGGUAUAAGGACAAGAGGUCUGAUGAAUUAUUCCGUGAGAAGUCAUAAACUGCUGAAAUUGAGAGGAUAAAUAUUCUAAGGCAUUAUCACUCCGAAGAGUGCGAAUAGAAACACCAAAUUG
rnacentral:lncRNA from 1 species